AUACACAGGACUGGUAUAUAACAACAAACUGGAUUAACCACACCAUAAAAAUACACUUUGAUACUUGCUUCAUAGAAAAUUCUAAAGAUGUAUGUUUGUUUGAUUACCUUUACGUGUAUGAUGGGGCAAACUCAAGUAGUACAGAAAUGAUGAAAACCUGUUGUGGAGAUAAACACAGUGCAACAUUAGAAAGUUCGACUGGAGAGAUGUAUUUCUUGUUUGAGACAGACAAUACGGUAGGAGACACUGGUUUUGAGAUCGAAUACUGGUCUAAUGGUAUCACAACGACAACUACGACAACGACAGUGGCUCCUUCUACCGAUAACACCCGUUAUAUCAUCAUAGCUUGCGUGAUCACAGGUCUGUUAGUGAUUAUUGUAGCUGUCCUCAUAGUGGUUGUGGUCAUGAAGAAAAAUAAAGCAGCUACUUAUCCUCGACCAUUCUUGGUUGAUGACGGAAAACCAAUACAGCCGGACUCAAGGAAUACCAAAUUCAAAAAUGGCCAAAAGAUGAUGGCUUUCCCUGUUCCACCACCUACACCACCGCUGCAUACAGUUAUGCCACAGGCAGAAACAAAUUUGUUUGAUUUAGAACUUCCGGAAAAGGGACGUGCUAAUCGUCUGCCUCCAUUGUAUAGUUCAAUCGACACAUCAAACACAAAUUGAGAUUAUCAAUAGAUUUAUAUGAUUUGUACCCCAAUGCAUUAUAAAGGCAUCUCGUCAAAAGUUAAUAUUUCUCUUUUUUAUUCAACACUUUAUUGUCAAUCGAUUAUUCAACAUAGCAACAUGUCGGCAUUAUAUGAAACACUUAAUUACAAUUGUUCACUAGUUCACACAAUGUAGGCCUGGAAUUUGCAUUUGGUAAGGUUAAUAGUUGUUUUCUUCAUGUGCAAAAGAUUUCACAGAUGUUUUUAUUUUCCGUGUCUUAAAGAGGUAGGUUAUGCACCUUUCCUCCCCAAAAAAACUUUAUCUGAAACUUAAUGAAAUUUUACUUUACAACAUGUCAAGUUAACUUUUGAAAUUUCAAUAAGAAAUUUUCCACUAAAACAACUGUUUAUGAUCAGGUUACUGUAUUGCUCACGAGAUCUUUUUUGAUUUUUUUAAAAUGCAAGUGAUACAUAGGUUUAUUCGUGUUUCUAACAUAGGAUCUCUGGAAAACAUGCAGCCAUUGUGGACUUCUUGUCUUUCUCACUUCGAGAAAAAUUAUAAUAUCACAAAAUACAAAUGUUGAUUUUUUACAUUAUAAGCUAGCUAAAGCAAAAUUAUUUUCUUUAGAAAAUAUGUACUGAAAUCCCUCAUCAACUUUAAAAUUACCCGCUGCAAAAUGGCGGCAUAUUUUUUCGCAGCAGUACUUUACAUUACAUUAUAUGUCAGAUGAAAAUAUAAAAUUUCGAAAACUCCCAAAAGGCAAGGUGAGAGAGUUAACUCUUGACGAGGUUCAUACAUUGAGAUUUUUCAGGGCUUUCAAACAUCAGCAUUACUCGAAGAAGAACUUCCAAAUUCUAAUUUUUACUGUAGAUAAUCUACUUCACUGGAAUAAUAACUAAACAUACAAACUCUAUUUUGAUUUUGUUUUCUCAUUUCUGUAUUUUCAGAGAUAGUUGUGCUUAAAUUAUAUCUUUACUUUGAAUUAAACCUCUUUGUGUUUUCUGUAAAAAAAAAUGCAAUAAUUAAAUAAAUAUGAAUAUAAAGCAAUGUAUCCUCGAUUUACUAUAUCAAUUUUAAUCUAUUUCACGCAAAUUUUUGAAAAACUAGAAUGCUUCUAUGUAACGGUUGACGGUGAAGAAACAAAUCUAU